CAGCAGCCGCGGGAAUACGUAGGUGGCAAGCGUUGUCCGGAAUUAUUGGGCGUAGAGGGCUCGCAGGCGGUUUCUUAAGUCUGAUGUGAAAGCCCCCGGCUCAACCGGGGAGGGUCAUUGGAAACUGGGAAACUUGAGUGCAGAAGAGGAGAGUGGAAUUCCACGUGUAGCGGUGAAAUGCGUAGAGAUGCGGAGGAACACCAGUGGCGAAGGCGACUCUCUGGUCUGUAACUGACGCUGAGGAGCGAAAGCGUGGGGAGCGAACAGGAUUAGAUACCCCGGUAGUCCCUGUCUCUUAUAC
rnacentral:rRNA from 1 species